rnacentral:rRNA from 1 species
CCAGCGGAAGGAUCAUUACCGAAUACACUGGGCGGGCUGCCGGCGCCUCCGGGCGCCCGCGGCCCCGAGCUCAACCAUUCAACCCCUGUGAAUUCCAACCGUAUGUUGCUUCGGCGGGUCCCCCCGCCCGCAGUUCCCGCGCGGACGCGGGCGGGCCGCUCCCGUCGAUGGCCCCGAAACUGAACCUGCGCGCACUUUGCACCAAUGGAGUCUGAGCAGUGACAAAACCAAUCACGAAAAACUUUCAACAACGGAUCUCUUGGUUCCGGCAUCGAUGAAGAACGCAGCGAAAUGCGAUAAAUAAUGCGAAUUGCAGAAUUCAGCGAGUCAUCGAGUUUUUGAACGCACAUUGCGCCCCCUGGAAUUCCAGAGGGCAUAUCUGUUCGAGCGUCAUUGCAUCUUCGUUCCAGCGGCCAGCUGGGUAGUUGGGCGGUGUCGUCGCGGUCGCCACGACACGCCUGAAAGCCAAUGUCGACCCCCGUGGGGCUUGGAGCGCAGUAAAGCCUUUUUUUCGCUCGUUCGAGCAACCACGCGGCGGUCUCGUCCACGCCUAGGACCCACCCGCACUCCGGGCGCAGUCCGGGCAACCCAUUAGCAGCGAUUGACCUCGGAUCAGGUAAGGAUACCCGCUGAACUUAAGC